rnacentral:tRNA from 1 species
GUAGUGAUGAUUCAGUGGUGGAAUUCUUGCCUUCCAUGCAGGAGAUCUUGGUUCAAUUCCCAGUCAAUGCA